UUACGGCCACGUCACGUUGGAAUAACUGUUCUCCUGUGAUCACCGAAGUUAAGCAAUGCCAAGACUGGUCAGUACCUGGAUGGGUGACUGCUUGGAAAUGCCACGUACUGUAA